UGGGGAAUAUUGCACAAUGGAGGGAACUCUGAUGCAGCGACGCCGCGUGAGUGAUGAAGGAAUUCGUUUCGUAAAACUCUGUUCUAUGGGAAGAAAAGGACUGUACCAUAGGAGAAAGCUCCGGCUAAAUACGUGCCAGCAGCCGCGGUAAUACGUAUGGAGCGAGCGUUGUCCGGAAUUAUUGGGCGUAAAGGGUGCGCAGGCGGCUUUACAAGUUGGAUGUGAAAUAUUGUGGCUGAACCACAAAAGUGCAUCCAAAACUGCAAAGCUUGAGUUAAGGAGAGGUAAGUGGAAUUCCUGGUGUAGAGGUGGAAUGCGUAGAUAUCAGGAGGAAUACCGGUGGCGAAGGCGACUUACUGGACUUAAACUGACGCUCAGGCACGAAAGCGUGGGGAGCAAACAGG
rnacentral:rRNA from 1 species